AAAUAUGACAUAAUUUAUUUAUAU
rnacentral:siRNA from 1 species